UACGUAUGGUGCAAGCGUUAUCCGGAUUUACUGGGUGUAAAGGGUGCGUAGGUGGCAAGGCAAGUCUGAAGUGAAAAUCCGGGGCUCAACCCCGGAACUGCUUUGGAAACUGUUUAGCUGGAGUACAGGAGAGGUAAGUGGAAUUCCUAGUGUAGCGGUGAAAUGCGUAGAUAUUAGGAGGAACACCAGUGGCGAAGGCGACUUACUGGACUGCUACUGACACUGAGGCAUGAAAGCGUGGGGAGCAAACAGG
rnacentral:rRNA from 1 species